rnacentral:rRNA from 1 species
ACGUAGGUGGCAAGCGUUGUCCGGAAUUACUGGGCGUAAAGCGCAUGUAGACGGCAUAGCAAGCCAGGUGUGAAAUUUAGGGGCUUAACCUCUAAACUGCGCUUGAAACUGCUGAGCUUGAGUGCAGGAGAGGUAAGUGGAAUUCCGAGUGUAGCGGUGAAAUGCGUAGAUAUUGGGAGGAACACCAGUGGCGAAGGCGGCUUACUGGACUGGAACUGACGUUGAGAUGCGAAAGCUAGGGGAGCAAACAG